AGAGUUUGAUCAUGGCUCAGGACAAACGCUGGCGGCGUGCCUAAAACAUGCAAGUCGUACGGUCCUUCGGGACAGUGGCGAACGGCUGAGUAACACGUGGGUAACCUACCCUCGAGUGGGGGAUAACCCUCCGAAAGGAGGGCUAAUACCGCGUACGAUCGUCCCACCCUGGUGGGACGCGGAAAGCAGUAAUGCGCUCGAGGAUGGGCCUGCGUCCGAUUAGCUAGUUGGUGAGGUAAUGGCCCACCAAGGCUUCGACGGGUAGCUGGUCUGAGAGGACGAUCAGCCACACUGGAACUGAGACACGGUCCAGACUCCUACGGGAGGCAGCAGUGGGGAAUUUUGCACAAUGGGCGAAAGCCUGAUGCAGCAACGCCGCGUGUGUGAUGAAGGUCUUCGGAUCGUAAAGCACUUUCGACCGGGACGAACAAGCCUGGCCACACCAGGCCCUGACGGUACCGGGAGAAGAAGCACCGGCUAACUCUGUGCCAGCAGCCGCGGUAAUACA
rnacentral:rRNA from 1 species